UGGGGAAUAUUGGACAAUGGGGGGAACCCUGAUCCAGCCAUGCCGCGUGUGUGAAGAAGGCCUUAUGGUUGUAAAGCACUUUAAGCGAGGAGGAGGGUACUGGUAUUAAUACUACCAGCUACUGGACGUUACUCGCAGAAUAAGCACCGGCUAACUCUGUGCCAGCAUCCGCGGUAAUACAGAGGGUGCGAGCGUUAAUCGGAUUUACUGGGCGUAAAGCGUGCGUAGGCGGCUAAUUGAGUCGGAUGUGAAAUCCCCGAGCUUAACUUGGGAAGUGCAUUCGAUACUGGUUAGCUAGAGUGUGGGAGAGGAUGGUAGAAUUCCAGGUGUAGCGGUGAAAUGCGUAGAGAUCUGGAGGAAUACCGAUGGCGAAGGCAGCCAUCUGGCCUAACACUGACGCUGAGGUACGAAAGAAUGGGGAGCAAACAGG
rnacentral:rRNA from 1 species